CAAGCCCAUUGUCUUUAUUGCUAAUGUGUUAGGCGCAUCGCAAGCUUCGAAAAUGGGUCACUGGGUGGUGUUCUAUGUUAGUGAUAAGUGUAUAUAUUUCUUCGACACAUACGCCCUGACCCCAUCAUUAUAUUCUAAGUACUUUCGAAGUUUCUUAAAUAAGCAUAAAGAUUAUCCUGUUUUUAAACUUGCCGCAAGAUUACAGUCGGACAAAACUCUGGUGUGUGGCGUGUAUUGCAUUCAAUUCGUAUACUUAUGUAAUAAAAUAGGCUUAGAGAGGACUAGUCAGUUUCUGAAAGAUAAUUAUGAUUUAGGAAAUUUUUUGAAGAAUGACAGAAAGGUGUUAACAUAUGCUUAUAGAAUGUUUAAAAUGCCCCCAUGUAUAAAAACAUUUUGUCAAUCUAGUCAAGGACUGACUUACAAGCAUUGUAUUUCUAAGAUAUGUGGCUAACUUAUUAAAUGCUACAAUGUGUGUGUGUGUGUGUAAAAAUGUAGAGCAGUAGCAUGUAGCUUAUUCAUUUAUGGCGUGUGUGUGCAAUUAUAUGUAGUUAUUAAGAACAGGAUUUUUUUUUUUUUUUCGUGCGAUGUGACCGGGUGGGUGUGAGUUUGUUCACGCUUUCCUAUGUGUAAAAAAAAUGUAGAGAAGUAGUAUAUAGCUUAUUCAUUUAUGGCGUGUGUGUGUAGUUAUAUGUAGUUAUUAAGAACAGGAUUCUGUUUUUUUUUUUUUCGUGCGACGUGACCGGGUGGGUGUGAGUUUGUUCACGCUUUCCUAUUGUUCGGAUGAAGAAUGGCUUGUGGUUUUGGGCAUGUGCGCGCGUGUUUGCAUACAUGUGUGGGCGUGUCCCCUAUAACCUGGGGUAGCCUCGGAAGAAGAAAAGGCUUGUGGUAGUGUGCGCAUAUGCCCCAAAUAACCCCGGGUAGCUUAGUCAGUCCCCUAACGUUGCGAGAGGAGCGUCAUGGAGGAAGUCUUCGCCGUCAUGAACUUACAACAACAACAACAACAACAGCCCCACGCUGCCGCUGCAACUCUUCAUGCUGACGAUGUUGACGAUCAGAUAAUGGGUCAAGCCGCAUUAGAAGUUGAAGCCAUGGAUAACACAUCCCAAGCUGAAGCCGUGGAUAACACAUCACAUCCCAGAAACGGAGCGGAUGUUGGUGGUGGUGAGGUGGGGGAUGUUCCAGAAACUCCCAAGUCUACCGGUGAACAUAUCACGGGCGAGUCAUUGGGCAACAACAACCGCGGCGCGUUGGGAGGUGUCGGUAAAAUGGGGCGGCGUGUGCUGAGGGAAGGAUGUGAUACCUCCAUUACCAGUGUCUCAUCUGAAGAACGACCCACCGGACAGCGUAACGCAUAUCCACGGCAACAACAACAGACACGCUUCGGUGAUGGUGUGUCUUGACUCUCCGUCGGGCGCUGAAUCGCGAG